rnacentral:rRNA from 1 species
UGGUGGAGUGAUUUGUCUGGUUAAUUCCGAUAACGAGCGAGACCUCAGCCUACUAACUAGCUGCGGCAAUCUUCGGAUUGUUUCGACAGUGGCUUCUUAGAGGGACUAUCGGUGUGUAGCCGAUGGAAGUUUGAGGCAAUAACA